rnacentral:rRNA from 1 species
UACAGAGGGCCCAAGCGUUGUUCGGAUUCAUUGGGCGUAAAGGGCGUGUAGGCGGCGCCGUAAGUCAGGUGUGAAAUCUCGGGGCUUAACUCCGAAACUGCAUUUGAUACUGCGGUGCUUGAGGACUGGAGAGGAGACUGGAAUUCAUGGUGUAGCAGUGAAAUGCGUAGAGAUCAUGAGGAAGACCAGUGGCGAAGGCGGGUCUCUGGACAGUUACUGACACUGAGACACGAAGGCCAGGGGAGCAAACGGG